UACGUAGGGCGCAAGCGUUAUCCGGAAUUAUUGGGCGUAGAGAGCUCGUAGGCGGUUUGUCGCGUCUGCUGUGAAAGACCGGGGCUCAACUCCGGUUCUGCAGUGGGUACGGGCAGACUAGAGUGAUGUAGGGGAGAUUGGAAUUCCUGGUGUAGCGGUGAAAUGCGCAGAUAUCAGGAGGAACACCGAUGGCGAAGGCGGGUCUCUGGGCAUUAACUGACGCUGAGGAGCGAAAGCAUGGGGAGCGAACAGG
rnacentral:rRNA from 1 species